rnacentral:lncRNA from 1 species
CCUGACUCUCAAACUCCCUAGUGGAGUCGCCAUCUGUCGCAACCAGAAUCACGACGGGACGACGAUCCAAAAAAGAAACAUAUUUAGAAAAAUGUUUUGGAGUCGCCACCAUAGUUUAUUCUGAAAAACUACGGAAAAACCAUAAAAUGAUAAAGCACGGUCCACGAAAACCAAAGAUUGGGUUCGGGAGUCGGUUACGUGUAGGGAAGGUAUUAGCACC